GAUGAACGCUGGCGGCGUGCCUAAUACAUGCAAGUCGAGCGAACGGACGAGAAGCUUGCUUCUCUGAUGUUAGCGGCGGACGGGUGAGUAACACGUGGAUAACCUACCUAUAAGACUGGGAUAACUUCGGGAAACCGGAGCUAAUACCGGAUAAUAUUUUGAACCGCAUGGUUCAAAAGUGAAAGACGGUCUUGCUGUCACUUAUAGAUGGAUCCGCGCUGCAUUAGCUAGUUGGUAAGGUAACGGCUUACCAAGGCAACGAUGCAUAGCCGACCUGAGAGAGUGAUCGGCCACACGGGAACUGAGACACGGUCCAGACGCCUACGGGAGGCAGCAGUAGGGAAUCGUCCGCAAUGGGCGAAAGCCUGACGGAGCAACGCCGCGUGAGUGAUGAAGGUCUUCGGAUCGUAAAACUCUGUUAUUAGGGAAGAACAUAUGUGUAAGUAACUGUGCACAUCUUGACGGUACCUAAUCAGAAAGCCACGGCUAACUACGUG
rnacentral:rRNA from 1 species